rnacentral:rRNA from 1 species
CCAAGCUUGCUUGGUGGAUCAGUGGCGAACGGGUGAGUAACACGUGAGCAACCUGCCCUGGACUCUGGGAUAAGCGCUGGAAACGGUGUCUAAUACUGGAUAUGAGCUCUCAUCGCAUGGUGGGGGUUGGAAAGAUUUUUCGGUCUGGGAUGGGCUCGCGGCCUAUCAGCUUGUUGGUGAGGUAAUGGCUCACCAAGGCGUCGACGGGUAGCCGGCCUGAGAGGGUGACCGGCCACACUGGGACUGAGACACGGCCCAGACUCCUACGGGAGGCAGCAGUGGGGAAUAUUGCACAAUGGGCGGAAGCCUGAUGCAGCAACGCCGCGUGAGGGAUGACGGCCUUCGGGUUGUAAACCUCUUUUAGCAAGGAAGAAGCGAGAGUGACGGUACUUGCAGAAAAAGCGCCGGCUAACUACGUGCCAGCAGCCGCGGUAAUACGUAGGGCGCAAGCGUUAUCCGGAAUUAUUGGGCGUAAAGAGCUCGUAGGCGGUUUGUCGCGUCUGCUGUGAAAUCCCGAGGCUCAACCUCGGGCCUGCAGUGGGUACGGGCAGACUAGAGUGCGGUAGGGGAGAUUGGAAUUCCUGGUGUAGCGGUGGAAUGCGCAGAUAUCAGGAGGAACACCGAUGGCGAAGGCAGAUCUCUGGGCCGUAACUGACGCUGAGGAGCGAAAGGGUGGGGAGCAAACAGGCUUAGAUACCCUGGUAGUCCACCCCGUAAACGUUGGGAACUAGUUGUGG